UACGGGGGGUGCGAGCGUUGUCCGGAAUCACUGGGCGUAAAGGGCGCGUAGGUGGCGUGAUAAGGGUGUGGUGAAAGCCCGGGGCUCAACCCCGGGUCUGCCAUGCCGACUGUCAGGCUGGAGUACUGUAGGGGCAGGCGGAAUUCCGGGUGUAGCGGUGGAAUGCGCAGAUAUCAGGAGGAACACCAGUGGCGAAGGCAGCUCGCUGGGACGUGACUGACGCUGAGACGCGAAAGCGUGGGGAGCAAACAGG
rnacentral:rRNA from 1 species